AAAGGCAAUCAUUCAAGCAAGCACAAAUGUGACCAUAACCUUGAGACCUAUGCUAGGGUGUGUAACCAGUCCACUUAUGCAUGCCUUUUCUUCAUUGGACACUAAACUCUGCUUGCGAAGACCAGUUGAGGCAAGUGAAAUCGAAAUCGAA